UAAGCUAUUUGAAGCUGUGCACUUAUGUUUGGUCACAACUAUAAACUGCUUUCUGUGGCCAGAUCAGGCAAAAAUUGUCACUUUUGUCUGCACCUAAAAGCUGGCGUUUUCUGAGGAAUGACUCAAGUCUCAAAAGGUUGUGAACCAUUGCAUUAGAGACAAGGGUAAAUUUCAUGGAGCCAUGCUGUCAAGAAUUCUCCUGCAAGGAACUUCCUCUGCCUAGGAGAUUAUUACAAAUUGCAAGGUAGCGGAUGGCUCUCAGUGCCCAAUCACCUCCACUCACAAUCAGCAGGAUCUGACCUACCAGAUCAAUACAGUCCUCCUGAGGUGCUACAGUGAUGGGGCCACAUACUAGACAGGCAGAUAGAUUAGGCAGAACACCAAGUUGUCAUAUCCACUUACAUAUAUCAGCACAUAUCAACAUGAAGGAUUUUACUGUGAGAAACUAGAAACUUUCUUGCCAAGAAACCAGGGGAACAGUCAAAGAAGAAAGAUAUCACUGAAAGGAAACUUAAAAAUGACAUCAACUUAUCAUCAGGACAAAACACAGAACAGGCUCAAGUCUGGUCAAGAAAAUUAAGAAUGAAAGCACUAUUAAAUACAUUGUUUUAAACUUA